rnacentral:rRNA from 1 species
AAUUUUAAGGUCAAGCUACAAAGGGCGCAUGGUGAAUGCCUUGGCACUAGGAGCCGAAGAAGGACGCGAUAAGCUGCGAUAAGCCUUGGGUAGCCGCAAAUAGGCUGAGAUCCAGGGAUUUCCGAAUGAGGAAACUCACAUGGGUAACCCCAUGUAUCAUGCACUGAAUACAUAGGUGUAUGAGGGUAAACCCGGGGAACUGAAACAUCUAAGUACCCGGAGGAAGAGAAAGAAAAAUCGAUUUCCUAAGUAGCGGCGAGCGAACGGGAAAGAGCCCAAACCAGAAACUUGUUUCUGGGGUUGUGGAUAGAUCAUGAAAGAAGAGGUAUCUUAAUCGAAGAGGGCUGGAACGCCCUACCAUAGAAGGUAAUAGUCCUGUAGAUAAAAAGAGAAAACUU